CCUACGGGUGGCAGCAGUGAGGAAUAUUUGUCAAUGGCCGCAGGGCUGAACCAGCCAAGUCGCGUGAGGGAUGACGGUCCUAUGGAUUGUAAACCUCUUUUGUCAGGGAACAAAGGGAGCCACGUGAGGCUGUUCGCGAGUACCUGAAGAAAAAGCAUCGGCUAACUCCGUGCCAGCAGCCGCGGUAAUACGGAGGAUGCGAGCGUUAUCCGGAUUUAUUGGGUUUAAAGGGUGCGCAGGCGGAAUGUGAAGUCAGCGGUAAAAUUUCGGGGCUCAACCCCGUCGUGCCGUUGAAACUGGCGUUCUUGAGUGAGCGAGAGGUAUGCGGAAUGCGUGGUGUAGCGGUGAAAUGCAUAGAUAUCGCGCAGAACUCCGAUUGCGAAGGCAGCAUACCGGCGCCCAACUGACGCUCAGGCACGAAAGCGUGGGUAUCGAACAGGAUUAGAUACCCCUGUAGUC
rnacentral:rRNA from 1 species